CUCACAUUAUCUAUAUAGUUGUUAAUCUUAAAUUCCCACAUAUCUGUGUUCCAACUCAAAUUCCACUGGUCAAGAUCUAAACCAGAAAAUCAAAAAUUUAAUGGUACGAGAAUAUGUCCUUUAUGUUGCAAGAGGAUAGUUUUUGAUACUUUUUUUCUCGU
rnacentral:misc_RNA from 1 species